UGCGGUUAAAAAGCUCGUAGUUGGAUUUCUGCCUGAGGCAGCCGGUCCGCACCUAGUGCGUGUAUCUGGCUUGGUUUGGGCAUCCUCUUGGGGAUCGUUGCUGUGCUUAGUUGCAUGGUGCGGAAUUCAAGACGUUUACUUUGAGGAAAUUAGAGUGGUUACGGCAAGCUAUCGCUUUGAAUACAUUAGCAUGGAAUAAUAAUAUAGGGCGUAAGUUCUAUCUUGUUGGUUUCUAGGACAUACGCAAUGAUUAAUAGGGACAAUUGGGGGCAUUCGUAUUAACGCGUCAGAGGUGGAAUUCUUAGAUUGCGUUACGACGAACUACUGCGAAAGCAUUUGCCAAGGAUGUUUUCAUUGAUCAAGAACGAAAGUAUGGGGAUCGAAGACGAUUAGAUACCGUCGUAGUCUAUACCAUAAACUAUGCCAAUUAGAGAUUGGAGGUCGUUUAUUUUAUGACUCCUCCAGCACCUUAUGAGAAAUCAAAAUUUUUGGGUUCCGGGGGGAGUAUGGUCGCAAGGCUGAAACUUAAAGGAAUUGACGGAAGGGCACCACCAGGAGUGGAGCCUGCGGCUUAAUUUGACUCAACACGGG
rnacentral:rRNA from 1 species